GAGGGGUGAAAAUUAAGAGUUGUAUGUAUUUUUAUAUGUUGUAUCAUAAAAAAAUAAAAACAAAAAAAAUUGUCUAUAAAUUAAAAAAAAAUUGUUUGGGGUGUACAACCCUUAUCACGGAAGCGUUUGAAAGAUAAUAGCCAAUUAUCAGACUUACUGAAUUUGCAUAUAUUUUCAUAAGAAUCGGUUGAGCCGUUUCGGAGGAGUAUGGGAACAAACAUUAUUAAUAUUAGAUUACAUAUUUGUGACAAUAUCGAGAGAAAACGCUUUGCCUUAACACAUGUGAUAACGAAAAAUACUUUAUUUAAAAACAUUUUUAAGUGAGCAUUGUUUAGCUGUGUGUGUUGUGUGUCUAGCUAGUUCAAUAAAAAUGAAAAUUAUAAGUUCUAAGUGUUGUUUUUGUUUACCCAUUCGUACAGGAUUAAUAAUAAUAUGCUAUUUAAAAAUCGCAAUAUGUACCAUCAUCUCCUUAUUCAUGCUGAGUAACAGGCUAGAGUCAUUGGGUAACCUAGAUGAUAAUAUAUACAAGUAUAUUGUAUUAGGAAUAAUAGCGGUUCUGGAAUUCAUUUUCAGCUUUGUACUUAUUACUGGAAUCCACAAGAAACACAUCAAAAUUGUUCGUGUCACAUACAUCUACAAUGUCCUGAUGAUGGGUAUCCAGAUUCUUAUUGCUAUAAUCUACGUGCCUCUUCAGACUUAUGAGCUCUUUGUAACAGGAAGAGGAGAUGAUCCUCUACUUAUGUUAAUGGCUGCUAUACUGCUUGUAGUAGUAUUGCAACUCUACGUGGCAUCGCUGGUGCGUCGACAUCUCUUCCACUUGCGGCAGCAGUGUGUGUCCGACCCAAAAAGUUCAACGUAUUCGCCACGAAAGCCUUAUGUCGUAUAUUAAUCUUAGUUCAAUUUAUAUAAUUAUCCCCUUAUAUACAUUAAUUACUAGUUACACAGUUUUACUCAAGCCUCGCCACGGGUGACGGAAUAAUAUUCUAAAUUCAAAAUCAUUUAUUCAUACUGGUAACACAUUCUACACUUAUGAACGUCAAAAAAGAAAUACACAUUAAAUUAGAAGCUAAUUUUACAU